rnacentral:rRNA from 1 species
CCUACGGGUGGCAGCAGUGAGGAAUAUUGGUCAAUGGGCGCUAGCCUGAACCAGCCAAGUCGCGUGAAGGAUGACUGCCCUAUGGGUUGUAAACCUCUUUUAUCGGGGAGCAAAGUGCACUACGCAUAGCGUUUUGCAAGUACCCUAUGCAUAAGCAUCGGCUAACUCCGUGCCAGCAGCCGCGGUACUACGGAGGAUCCGAGCGUUAUCCGGAUUUAUUGGGUUUAAAGGGUGAGAAGGGGGGAGUUAAAGUCAGUUGUAAAAUUUUGCGGCUCAACCUAUUCGAGCAGUUGACACUGGUAUGCUUGAGUAAGGUAGAGGUAGGCGGAAUGCGUGGUGUAGCGGUGAAAUGCAUAGAUAUCACGAAGAACUCCGAUUGCGAAGGCAGCCUACUGG